rnacentral:tRNA from 1 species
GUUACAGCAGUUAAAACUCCGGAGUACACGAUCAUUACGGCAAUAUAGAUAACAGAAAAAACUGAAUCCAAG